CCGGACUUCUUCCCCGAACUCCAACUGUAGGUAGACUUCGUCCGAGCUCCUACAGGAGCCGGACUUCUUCCCCGAACUCCGAUUGCAGGUAGACUUCAUCCGGGCUCCUACAGGAGCCGGACUUCUUCCCCGAACUCCGGCUGCAGGUAGACUUCGUCCGAGCUCCUACGGGAGCCGGACUUCAUCCCGAACUCCGACUGAAGGUAGACUUCAUCCGAGCUCCUACGGG
rnacentral:lncRNA from 1 species